CCUGCAGAAGACCGCUGACCUGCUGCAGGUGCCGUUAGAUGAGCUGCAGUCGUGUCUGACCGUGAGAACUCUGCGCGCUGGCAAACAGAGCGUCCUCAAACCUUGCUCUCAGUCGGAGUGCAGUGUCCGCAGAGACUGUCUUGCUAAAGUCAUUUACGCACAGCUGUUUGACUGGUUAGUCACAUUCAUAAACAACAGUAUGUGUGCAGACAGUUCCAUGUGGUGCAACUUCAUUGGUCUGCUGGAUGUGUACGGUUUUGAAUGCUUCCUCCUGAACAAUCUGGAGCAAUUGUGUAUUAAUUACGCUAACGAGAAACUGCAGCAGCACUUUGUGGCUCAUUACCUGAAGGCCCAGCAGGAGGAGUAUGUGACAGAGGGGCUGCAGUGGUCCUUCAUACGGUACCAAG